CCAGAUCCCAAGGACUUUGACUUCAGACAGAUGAAGAGAAGGAGCUAGGGUGCAGAUGGAGAACAGGGCUGUCCGCCUCUGGCUCCUGAGUGCUGGGACUAAAGGCGAGCAUCACCACCAUCCGGCUUGGUUUGUCUAAGUGCACCAGCACUGCCCCCAUUGUCUAAGUGCGGUCACACCACAUAUUUUGUCACAGUGAUGUAAAGUUAUCUGCUGCAAUAAACCUCAUGUUUUGGGGG